rnacentral:rRNA from 1 species
UACGUAGGGUGCGAGCGUUAAUCGGAAUUACUGGGCGUAAAGCGUGCGCAGGCGGUUCGUCAAGUCUGAUGUGAAAGCCCCGGGCUCAACCUGGGAACUGCAUUGGAUACUAGCGAGCUUGAGUGUGGCAGAGGGGGGUGGAACUCCACGUGUAGCAGUGAAAUGCGUAGAUAUGCGGAGGAACACCGAUGGCGAAGGCAAUCCCCUGGGCCUGCACUGACGCUCAUGCACGAAAGCGUGGGGAGCAAACAGG